rnacentral:rRNA from 1 species
GCGUAACGCGUAUGCAACCUACCUCUAACUGGGGAAUAGCCCCGAGAAAUCGGGAUUAAUACCUCAUAAUAUUCAUCAUUCGCAUGUUUGAUGAAUUAAAGUUUCGACGGUUAGAGAUGGGCAUGCGGGACAUUAGUUAGUUGGUGAGGUAACGGCUCACCAAGACAGCGAUGUCUAGGGGUUCUGAGAGGAUUUUCCCCCACACUGGUACUGAGACACGGACCAG